rnacentral:rRNA from 1 species
GAUGAACGCUGGCGGCGUGCCUAAUACAUGCAAGUCGAGCGAACGGACGAGAAGCUUGCUUCUCUGAUGUUAGCGGCGGACGGGUGAGUAACACGUGGAUAACCUACCUAUAAGACUGGGAUAACUUCGGGAAACCGGAGCUAAUACCGGAUAAUAUUUUGAACCGCAUGGUUCAAAAGUGAAAGACGGUAUUGCUGUCACUUAUAGAUGGAUCCGCGCUGCAUUAGCUAGUUGGUAAGGUAACGGCUUACCAAGGCAACGAUGCAUAGCCGACCUGAGAGGGUGAUCGGCCACACUGGAACUGAGACACGGUCCAGACUCCUACGGGAGGCAGCAGUAGGGAAUCUUCCGCAAUGGGCGAAAGCCUGACGGAGCAACGCCGCGUGAGUGAUGAAGGUCUUCGGAUCGUAAAACUCUGUUAUUAGGGAAGAACAUAUGUGUAAGUAACUGUGCACAUCUUGACGGUACCUAAUCAGAAAGCCACGGCUAACUACGUG